UACAGAGGUCUCAAGCGUUGUUCGGAUUCAUUGGGCGUAAAGGGUGCGUAGGCGGCGCGGUAAGUCGGGUGUGAAAUCUUGGAGCUUAACUCCGAAACUGCAUUCGAUACUGCCGUGCUUGAGGACUGGAGGAGGAGACUGGAAUUUACGGUGUAGCGGAUGAAAUGCGUAGAUAUCGUAAGGAAGACCAGUGGACGGAAGGCGGGUCGUCUGGACAGUUCCUGACGCUGAGGCACGAAGGCCAGGGGAGCAAACGGG
rnacentral:rRNA from 1 species